UCCUCCCUCUUUCUUCGUGCUUAACACAUGCAAGUCGAACGGAAAGGCCCUGCUUUUGUGGGGUGCUCGAGUGGCGAACGGGUGAGUAACACGUGAGUAACCUGCCCUUGACUUUGGGAUAACUUCAGGAAACUGGGGCUAAUACCGGAUAGGAGCUCCUGCUGCAUGGUGGGGGUUGGAAAGUUUCGGCGGUUGGGGAUGGACUCGCGGCUUAUCAGCUUGUUGGUGGGGUAGUGGCUUACCAAGGCUUUGACGGGUAGCCGGCCUGAGAGGGUGACCGGCCACAUUGGGACUGAGAUACGGCCCAGACUCCUACGGGAGGCAGCAGUGGGGAAUAUUGCACAAUGGGCGGAAGCCGGAUGCAGCAACGCCGCGUGCGGGAUGACGGCCUUCGGGUUGUAAACCGCUUUCGCCUGUGACGAAGCGUGAGUGACGGUAAUGGGUAAAGAAGCACCGGCUAACGACGUGC
rnacentral:rRNA from 1 species